GACGAACGCUGGCGGCGUGCUUAACACAUGCAAGUCGAACGGGCCUGUCUUCUUUUUUGGGGGGUGGGUUGAGUGGCGAACGGGUGAGUAUCACGUGAGUAACCUGCCCUUCGGUCCUGGAUAACCGCUUGAAAGGGCGGCUAAUACGGGGUGGUCCGGUUGGUCCGCAUGGGCUGGUCGGGAUAGAUUCACUGUUUUUGGUGUUUCGGCGGGGGAUGGGCUCGCGGCCUAUCAGCUUGUUGGUGGGGUGAUGGCCUACCAAGGCGGUGACGGGUAGCCGGCCUGAGAGGGUGGGCGGCCACACUGGGACUGAGAUACGGCCCAGACUCCUGCGGGAGGCAGCAGUGGGGGGUAUUGCACAAGGGGCGGAAGCCUGAUGCAGCGACGUCGCGUGAGGGAUGGAGGCCUUCGGGUUGUGAACCUCUGUUUCCGGUGGUGAAGGCCCUGUCCGUGUGGUGGGGUUGACGGUAGCCGGGGAUGAAGCGCCGGCUAACUACGUG
rnacentral:rRNA from 1 species